AAAAAUUUAGCGUUAGUGGUGGUCUGUCUGUCUUCCGCCAACCGGUCUAAACGAUCAGAGUGGUAGCAGAUGUGCUGAAGAUUCAAUGAGAGGAGUAUCUAGAGCACCUCGCUCUGUUUCUCUCAAUCUCCAAUCAUC
ensembl:ncRNA W03G11.9 ncRNA